rnacentral:lncRNA from 12 species
GCUGUUUGUCUCUGUCUGGUGAGAGUUUGGGUAUUUGACCUUUGGAUUUUCAAAGUAAACUUUAAAGUGCUUCUCUUACAACAUCAGAGCACCAGUGUCGGGCUAGCAAACGUGUCAACCCUCCUGAUAACUGCACCCUACUAGCCACCCAAACCGCAGCAGCCCCUAGCCUAUCAAUCACCACGGGCCAGCACAGAGAAGCUGCCUCCCCUGCCACUGGAUGAUGGAGGAGGGGGGAACUGGAGCUCCAUGCAUAUCAGCCGCUGCAUUUGUAGCCCUCCAGGAGAAGAGCAGGUGAAGGGCUGAGAGAAAGAUGUUAAGCUCACAGCAAGACAGACGAAAGGAGGAUUACACUUUAUUGAGGGAAAGCUGGGAAAAUUACUCAGCGGAAAAGAAAACUGCUGGCAUGCCAUCAAAAACUCAUCCAGAAGAAUUACCAUAUGACUCUUUACCACUGACUGCCAAGAGAGGAAAAAAGGCUUGACUGUAAAACCGUAGGAGUGUUUUGCGUGUCUAAAGGCACAUGCUACAACUGCGCAGCUACAUCAAACACUUGAAUAAGCAUGCAUUAGUAUGCUUGUUUUAAUCUUGGAUUGCUCUGUGCUAUUUCCAGCACCUAUUGUGAAAAUGUCAAGUGGUGAAAUUGAACCGGGUUGCAGAUAUCUGUGGCUGUCACAAAUCUGUCUAAACAGGUUCUGACUGUUAAAAGAGAUUCCAGUGAGAGCCGUUUACCAUAUUGCCUAUUGACUGCUCAAAUUACAACUGUCAGUUUAACUAAAAUAUUAUUUGAAUUAUUUGGAUGACUUUGAAAGUGCAUGUCAGGGUUGACAUCGCUCUUAAUAUCAAAAUAAUAUAUUUUUCAGCUUUUAUAACAGGAACGGUGCUAAAAGGAAGUGACAAUUGUUGAGGUACCUGUAAAUGCAAUCCUCAAGGACUAGAAAUGCACUUUGAUGGGAAGACUGUCGGCACAGUUUUGGCGUUAAGACUAUUAGCUUAUUCUGAAUGUGCUUUCUGUUUAUGAGAAGUAUAACAGUUGUGAAUAUUUUUGAAACAGAUGUCUGUUGUUGAUUGGAUUUGCUGUAGAAACUAAUGUAUGACUGCAGAGAAAUUCAAAAAGAGUGAAUAGAUUGACACAAAUUGAAGUUUAGUGGCUAAUUAGCUUUAAAUGGGCCACUUAAUNACUCAUCCAGAAGAAUUACCAUAUGACUCUUUACCACUGACUGCCAAGAGAGGAAAAAAGGCUUGACUGUAAAACCGUAGGAGUGUUUUGCGUGUCUAAAGGCACAUGCUACAACUGCGCAGCUACAUCAAACACUUGAAUAAGCAUGCAUUAGUAUGCUUGUUUUAAUCUUGGAUUGCUCUGUGCUAUUUCCAGCACCUAUUGUGAAAAUGUCAAGUGGUGAAAUUGAACCGGGUUGCAGAUAUCUGUGGCUGUCACAAAUCUGUCUAAACAGGUUCUGACUGUUAAAAGAGAUUCCAGUGAGAGCCGUUUACCAUAUUGCCUAUUGACUGCUCAAAUUACAACUGUCAGUUUAACUAAAAUAUUAUUUGAAUUAUUUGGAUGACUUUGAAAGUGCAUGUCAGGGUUGACAUCGCUCUUAAUAUCAAAAUAAUAUAUUUUUCAGCUUUUAUAACAGGAACGGUGCUAAAAGGAAGUGACAAUUGUUGAGGUACCUGUAAAUGCAAUCCUCAAGGACUAGAAAUGCACUUUGAUGGGAAGACUGUCGGCACAGUUUUGGCGUUAAGACUAUUAGCUUAUUCUGAAUGUGCUUUCUGUUUAUGAGAAGUAUAACAGUUGUGAAUAUUUUUGAAACAGAUGUCUGUUGUUGAUUGGAUUUGCUGUAGAAACUAAUGUAUGACUGCAGAGAAAUUCAAAAAGAGUGAAUAGAUUGACACAAAUUGAAGUUUAGUGGCUAAUUAGCUUUAAAUGGGCCACUUAAUUGGUCUCGAAUGCAAUGAGAAAAACAUCCAUAUUUCACUUUGUCUUCAUUAACACACUGGAAAGUGCUCAUUUGAUUUAUAAUAAUGAAGUUAAAUAGCAGAUAUUUAUUUCUUGGCCUAAAACAUUUUACUGAAGCAUUUAGCAAGAUAAACUGAGGAAACAAACAUGUAAAUAUUGAAAUGAAAUGUUGCCAUGUUGAGCACACGGCUCACUGAUGAGACUCUAUAUUCUCAUUAAGCCAUUAAAACCUUCACAGAAUGCACAGCUUGUUAUCCUGUCAUAUAUCUUUUACCAUAUGACGGUUCUGGAAAUUGAUGCAAGACCAACAAAUGCAAUUAUAUUGCAAAAAAUUGGUCAUGAAUCAGAGAUCCAGCAAUGGUAGAUGUUCAAGAGGAAAGAGUUGGAGUCAGGAAACAGCAUUGAGCUGUGGAAGGAUCACAGACCGGCCCUCUUGAAGAUGGCACCUGGGGGAUUCUGGCCAUAUGUUUAAGCUUUGUCUUUUCCUACAAAGUUAGUGCGCCCUUCAUCAUGCUUCGUCAAAGAGGAGCUUGGCUUUGACAUAGAGAAUAUGGGCUAGCGGCGAGAGACAAGGUAUCAGAUAGGUGUCUCUCCUGGCUGCUUUUAAACGGGGCCAACCGCUGCACUGAUUAUGGCAUAAUUAAAGCAGUAAAGCCAGGAGAUUAUCCACCUGGUUAUGGGCUCAAGUCUCUUCACUAAUAGGGCAAAUGAGCAGCUCCAGCUUGCAGGUUCGGGUCAGCCGCGCGGCCGAUUAAUGCAGUUUAUUGGGAUCUGUUAAAAGCAUUAAGUGAAGACAAGAGCAGUAAUUCGUCAUGUUUAAAAGCAGGGAAAUUAAAUCAUAGCAGAGGGAAAUGAGCAUAGAUAAAGCAAAAAUGCUCUUUUAGAGGUUACCUGUUUGCAAGCUGUGUACUUUUGCGCAACGCACCCCUCCCCUCUGCGAGUCUCCUG